rnacentral:rRNA from 1 species
CAGUAGCCGCGGUAAUACGAAGGGGGCUAGCGUUGUUCGGAAUUACUGGGCGUAAAGCGCACGUAGGAGGAUAUUUAAGUCAGGGGUGAAAUCCCAGAGCUCAACUCUGGAACUGCCUUUGAUACUGGGUAUCUUGAGUAUGGAAGAGGUUAGUGGAAUUGCGAGUGUAGAGGUGAAAUUCGUAGAUAUUCGCAGGAACACCAGUGGCGAAGGCGGCUAACUGGUCUAUAACUGACGCUGAGGUGCGAAAGCGUGGGGAGCAAACAGGAUUAGAUACCCCCGUAGUCCCUGUCUCUUAUAC